rnacentral:rRNA from 1 species
GACGUAGGGUCCAAGCGUUGUCCGGAUUUACUGGGCGUAAAGAGCGCGUAGGCGGUCUGUUAAGUGAGAAGUGAAAAUCUCUAGGGCUCAACCCAGAAACUGCUUUUCAUACUGGCAGACUUGAGGAAUGCAGAGGUCAGUGGAAUUCCUGGUGUAGCGGUGAAAUGCGUUGAUAUCAGGAGGAACACCCAUGGGCGAAGGCAGCUGACUGGGCAUUAUCUGACGUGAGCGCGAAAGCGUGGGUAGGCAAACAGG